rnacentral:rRNA from 1 species
GAGGCAGCAGGCGCGCAAUUACCCAAUCCUGACUCAGGGAGGUAGUGACAAGAAAUAACAAUAAACCGGCUUAUGCCGGUUUAAUUGGAAUGAGUACAAUUUAAACAUCUUAACGAGGAACAAUUGGAGGGCAAGUCUGGUGCCAGCAGCCGCGGUAAUUCCAGCUCCAAUAGCGUAUACUAAAGUUGUUGCAGUUAAAAAGCUCGUAGUUGGAUUUCUGUGGGGACGGAGCGGCCGGCCGCACAUCGCGGUUCGAGCUAGCGCUUUCCCUACAUCCUGCCGCGAACCGUGCUACCAUUAAUUUGGUGGCGCUGGGGAUCGGCUCGAUUACUUUGAGAAAAAUAGAGUGUUCAAAGCAGGCCACAUGCCUUGAAUAAGUUAGCAUGGAAUAAUAACUAAGGACUUCGGUUCUAUUUUGUUGGUGUUCGGGACUGAAGUAAUGAUUGAUAGGGACAGUUGGGGCGGUCUGUAUUCCAAAGCGAGAGGUGAAAUUCUUAGACCUUCGGAAGACAAACAGCUGCGAAAGCGUUCCGCAAGGAUGUUCCCUUUGAUCAAGAACGAAAGUUGGGGGAUCGAAGACGAUCAGAUACCGUCGUAGUCUCAACUAUAAACUAUACCAGCUAGGGAUCGGCCAACGUUAUUUCAAACCGACUUGGUCGGCACCUUAUGAGAAAUCAAAGCAUCUGGGUUCCGGGGGGAGUAUGGUCGCAAGGCUGAAACUUAAAGGAAUUGACGGAAGGGCACCACCAGCCGUGGAGCCUGUGGCUUAAUUUGACUCAACACGGGAAAACUUACCAGGUCCAGACAUAGUAAGGAUUGACAGAUUGAUAGCUCUUUCUUGAUUCUGUGGGUGGUGGUGCAUGGCCGUUCUUAGUUGGUGGAGUGAUUUGUCUGGUUAAUUCCGUUAACGAACGAGACCCCAGCCUGCUAAAUAGCGCGCGUGAGCUUUGCUCGCGGCGAGCUUCUUAGAGGGACUAUGAUGCGCGAUAGCACAUGGAAGUUUGGGGCAAUAACAGGUCUGUGAUGCCCUUAGAUGUUCUGGGCCGCACACGGGCUACACUGGCGCCUGCAACGAGCAUAUCAGCUGGCCCGAGAGGGUCUUGGCUAAUCUUUUGAACCGGCGCCGUGCUUGGGAUUGACCUUUGCAAUUGUUGGUCAUGCAACGAGGAAUGCCUUGUAAACGCGAGUCAUCAGCUCGCAUUGAAUACGUCCCUGCCCUUUGUACACACCGCCCGUCGCUCCUACCGAUGAAUGUUCCGAUGAAAUUUUCGGAGAGCACCUGUGAACUUGGCUCCGCCUUGCGAACGGGAGGCUCAAAGUCACAUAAAUCGAAAACUUUA